rnacentral:rRNA from 1 species
GCCCAGACUCCUACGGGAGGCAGCAGUGAGGAAUAUUGGUCAAUGGGCGCGAGCCUGAACCAGCCAAGUCGCGUGAGGGAAGACGGUCCUAUGGAUUGUAAACCUCUUUUGUCGGGGAGCAAAAGACGCCACGUGUGGCGUUCCGAGAGUACCCGAAGAAAAAGCAUCGGCUAACUCCGUGCCAGCAGCCGCGGUAAUACGGAGGAUGCGAGCGUUAUCCGGAUUUAUUGGGUUUAAAGGGUGCGUAGGCGGCAUUAUAAGUUAGUGGUAAAAUAUUGGGGCUUCACCUCACUACGCCAUUAAUACUGUAGAGCUAGAGAACAGACGAGGUAGGCGGAAUAAGUUAAGUAGCGGUGAAAUGCAUAGAUAUAACUUAGAACACCGAUAGCGAAGGCAGCUUACCAGACUGAGUCUGACGCUGAUGCACGAGAGCAUGGGUAGCGAACAGGAUUAGAUACCCGGGUAUU